UUCCGGUUGAUCCUGCCGGAGGCCAUUGCUAUCGGAGUCCGAUUUAGCCAUGCUAGUUGUGCGGGUUUAGACCCGCAGCGGAAAGCUCAGUAACACGUGGCCAAACUACCCUGUGGAUGGGAACAAUCUCGGGAAACUGAGGCUAAUUCCCAAUAACGCUCCACCCCUGGAACGGGCGGAGCUGGAAACGCUACGGCGCCACAGGAUGUGGCUGCGGUCGAUUAGGUAGACGGUGGGGUAACGGCCCACCGUGCCAAUAAUCGGUACGGGUUGUGAGAGCAAGAGCCCGGAGACGGAAUCUGAGACAAGAUUCCGGGCCCUACGGGGCGCAGCAGGCGCGAAACCUUUACACUGUACGCAAGUGCGAUAAGGGGACUCCGAGUGUGAAGGCAUAGAGCCUUCACUUUUGUACACCGUAAGGUGGUGUACGAAUAAGGGCUGGGCAAGACCGGUGCCAGCCGCCGCGGUAAUACCGGCAGCCCGAGUGAUGGCCGAUAUUAUUGGGCCUAAAGCGUCCGUAGCUGGCCGGACAAGUCCGUUGGGAAAUCUGUUCGCUUAACGAGCAGGCGUCCAGCGGAAACUGUUCGGCUUGGGACCGGAAGACCUGAGGGGUACGUCCGGGGUAGGAGUGAAAUCCUGUAAUCCUGGACGGACCACCGGUGGCGAAAGCGCCUCAGGAGGACGGAUCCCGACAGUGAGGGACGAAAGCUAGGGUCUCGAACCGGAUUAGAUACCCGGGUAGUCCUAGCUGUAAACGAUGCCCGCUAGGUGUGGCGCAGGCUACGAGCCUAGCGCUGUGCCGUAGGGAAGCCGAGAAGCGGGCCGCCUGGGAAGUACGUCUGCAAGGAUGAAACUUAAAGGAAUUGGCGGGGGAGCACUACAACCGGAGGAGCCUGCGGUUUAAUUGGAUUCAACGCCGGG
rnacentral:rRNA from 1 species